rnacentral:rRNA from 1 species
AGAGUUUGAUCCUGGCUCAGAACGAACGCUGGCGGCAGGCCUAACACACGCAAGUCGAACGAGAAGCCACCUUCGGGUGGUGGACAGUGGCAGACGGGUGAGUAACGCGUGGGAACGUGCCUUUCGGUUCGGGAUAACCCAGGGAAACUUGGGCUAAUACCGGAUACGCCCUUCGGGGGAAAGAUUCAUUGCCGAAAGAUCGGCCCGCGUCGGAUUAGCUAGUUGGUGGGGUAAAAGCCUACCAAGGCGACGAUCCGUAGCUGGUCUGAGAGGAUGACCAGUCACACUGGGACUGAGACACGGCCCAGACUCCUACGGGAGGCAGCAGUGGGGAAUAUUGGACAAUGGGCGCAAGCCUGAUCCAGCCAUGCCGCGUGGGUGAAGAAGGCCUUAGGGUUGUAAACCCCUUUCAGCGGGGAAGAUAAUGACGGUACCCGCAGAAGAAGCCCCGGCUAACUCCGUGCCAGCAGCCGCGGUAAUACGGAGGGGGCUAGCGUUGUUCGGAAUUACUGGGCGUAAAGCGCGCGUAGGCGGACCUGUAAGUCGGGGGUGAAAGCCCGAGGCUCAACCUCGGAACUGCCUUCGAUACUACAGGUCUUGAGUCCGAGAGAGGUGAGUGGAAUUCCUAGUGUAGAGGUGAAAUUCGUAGAUAUUAGGAAGAACACCAGUGGCGAAAGCGGCUCACUGGCUCGGUACUGA